UAACCUGCCUGGUAGCGGGGGGUAACUAUUGGAAACGAUAGCUAAUACCGCAUAAUAGCAGUUAUUGCAUGAUAAUUAUUGAAAAGGUGCAAUUGCACCACUACCAGAUGGACCUGCGUUGUAUUAGCUAGUAGGUGAGGUAACGGCUCACCUAGGCGACGAUACAUAGCCGACCUGAGAGGGUGAUCGGCCACACUGGGACUGAGACACGGCCCAG
rnacentral:rRNA from 1 species